GGGAAUUCAUCUAGAUUGCCCCUGUUCAUUACAUUGUAGCAGAAGAGGGUCCAAAAUACACUUGAUUUUUACUAGGGAAUGCAAAUGAGAAUCCCUCUAGUAUUUUUUUACUUUCUGGAGGGGCAAAAGGCAAAAUGAGUAGCAUAUUCAUAGAAUCAUAUUAAAAGGUCUAUCCCAAUAUAGUUUUCAAAAAAGCAUUUCUUUUUGUCUUAAUAUAUGUUCAGGAUACCAAAAUAGGUUAGGCUCAGUCUGAGCGUGAAUGAAAAAAAAUCCAAACCCAACAGAACACUUUCAUUUUAAAUUAAGCAGUUUGAGGAGAGGAAGAUGCCACAAUACUGAUGUUAAUAAAGGAUAUUGGUAAUGGUUACUGUCAGUAUUCAUGCUUUUGUUUCCUUAAGGAACAGCUCUCUGAAGCCUUGCACAGGAGAAGGAGAAAUAUGCAUACUUUAUUGAAAGCUUGGACUCUUGUCAAAACAUUAUCUAGCCUUGCCCACAACUGGAAUUCAGAUCAGGUUUUUUUUUCCUUUUUUCCUCUCUUUAUUUUACUGUAGCAUUUUUUAAGGAGAAUGCAUACUUACAAGAGUUUCCCAAGAGGAUGGCUUCUCUGUUACACUAUGUGGCCAAGAGGCAUGAGCUGGAAGGAAGCAUAGGAGCAGGGUGCCAAGCUGCUGCCUGCAAAGCUGGGCACCCCAGUUCCUGACCUCUGAGCCCCCUGAGCUGUGUGUGCCACUCUGGCCCCCUCUGCUUGCCUUUCCGGGUAUGGUGAGCCCUUAUCAUUUCAAAGGAAACAGAGCCUUCCUUCAACCGUUGGAGAAGUCCUUCAUCCUUUUUCUUAUGUACUUACCCAAAUAAGUUCUGCAACUCUUUUUU